UAUUAGCAGAUUGUGUUGAAUGUGGUGUGAAAUAAAAGACAAAGACGUCCCUGCAGGCGAUUUUGGUGGCAUUUUGACCGCGUUUACUACAGUUUUUAUUCCCAUCUACAGUUAUCAGCACAGCUUGUGGAAUUCUUUUAACAUCGUCAUAGAUAUUUUCACCACUGGUUUAUUUUUCUGCUCACUCACUCAGAAGAUAUUUCAGGAACAUGAUCUAAAAAAAAAUCCAAACAAAAAAAAAAACAUCU